UACAGAGGGGGCAAGCGUUGUCCGGAUUGACUGGGCGUAAAGCGCGCGCAGACGGUUGACUACGUGCUUUGUGACAUCUCCAAGCUUAACUGGGAGGAGCCAAGGUACACGGGUCGGCUAGAGUGGGCGAGAGGGAUGUGGAAUACCCGGUGGAGCGGUGAAAUGCGUAGAGAUCGGGUGGAACACCAGGGGCGAAGGCGGCAUCCUGGCGACAUACUGACGUUGAGGCGCGAGAGCGUGGGGAGCAAACGGG
rnacentral:rRNA from 1 species